rnacentral:rRNA from 1 species
AUGAACGCUGGCGGCAUGCCUUAACAUGCAAGUCGGACGGCAGCGCGGGGGCAACCCUGGCGGCGAGUGGCGAACGGGUGAGUAAUACAUCGGAACGUGUCCUGGAGUGGGGGAUAGCCCGGCGAAAGCCGGAUUAAUACCGCAUACGCUCGGGAGAGGAAAGCGGGGGAUCUUCGGACCUCGCGCUCAAGGGGCAGCCGAUGGCAGAUUAGCUAGUUGGUGGGGUAAAGGCCUACCAAGGCGACGAUCUGUAGCUGGUCUGAGAGGACGACCAGCCACACUGGGACUGAGACACGGCCCAGACUCCUACGGGAGGCAGCAGUGGGGAAUUUUGGACAAUGGGGGCAACCCUGAUCCAGCAAUGCCGCGUGUGUGAAGAAGGCCUUCGGGUUGUAAAGCACUUUUGUCCGGAAAGAAAACUUCGUCCCUAAUACGGGUGGAGGAUGACGGUACCGGAAGAAUAAGCACCGGCUAACUACGUGCCAGCAGCCGCGGUAAUACGUAGGGUGCGAGCGUUAAUCGGAAUUACUGGGCGUAAAGCGUGCGCAGGCGGUUCGCUAAGACCGAUGUGAAAUCCCCGGGCUUAACCUGGGAACUGCAUUGGUGACUGGCGGGCUAAAGUAUGGCAGAGGGGGGUAGAAUCCACGUGUACAGUG